rnacentral:rRNA from 1 species
GACGAACGCUGGCGGCGUGCUUAACACAUGCAAGUCGAACGGAAAGGCCCUGCUUUUGUGGGGUGCUCGAGUGGCGAACGGGUGAGUAACACGUGAGUAACCUGCCCUUGACUUUGGGAUAACUUCAGGAAACUGGGGCUAAUACCGGAUAGGAGCUCCUGCUGCAUGGUGGGGGUUGGAAAGUUUCGGCGGUUGGGGAUGGACUCGCGGCUUAUCAGCUUGUUGGUGGGGUAGUGGCUUACCAAGGCUUUGACGGGUAGCCGGCCUGAGAGGGUGACCGGCCACAUUAGGACUGAGAUACGGCGCAGAGUCCUACGGGAGACAGCAGUGGGAAGUCUUGUACAGUGAGGGGGAGCGUGAUGCAGAGGCGCCGCGUGCGGAAUGACGGCCUUCGGGUUGUGAACCGCUUUCGCCUGUGACGAAGCGUGAGUGACGGUAAUGGGUAAAGAAGCACCGGCUAACUACGUG